GUGGGUAUUUGGCCUGAACUGUUGCAAAGAAAUGCUCUACGGUGGGUGUUAGCUAGAGAAAACAAGAGCAUAAUUAUCGGAACUAUGCUGCGCCGUAACAAGCUACACAGAUGCUUGCAAACCUCGGACCAUAGCACUGUUGAAUUCGAUCCAGAUCAUCACACCACACAACGGUUGCAGACAAUUCGGCGCUCCAUGAUCCAAAAUCCGAGGAGUGCUUUAAUCAACAAUUAUCUAGAGAGGAGACGGGCUUAUCUGGCAACAGUGGUACCGGAUGUGUAGUGUGAUAGCUUGUUACAUUAUAGGAUUUGAAGUUAUGUGUCAA